AAAAACCAUAAAGUCUGUAGUAUAUUCUAUCUCUGUCAUGCUUUGGAUGGAGUUAUGUCUUGGGGGCAGGGGAUUAAUGGCGGAAAGACACAUAUGUAAAGAAAGAGGAAAUUAAAAAGGGUAGGUGCAACUCCAGCCAAACUUAAUUUCUGUGAUUGUCCCUCUUAAGACAAUUACAAUAUAUAUUGAUGAUACACACAUGGCACUGUCCUGUUCAGUGGAGGACUUCAAUUUUUAUUUUAUUUUUUUAUUAUUUUUAUUGUCCUCUGGGUAUGUUGAUAUUCAAAAAAUCCAUGUCAAUACCUUGCAGCAAAUUGCUGUGCUGAUGGGGACGGUGGUUAAUUUGAAGUGCCCAGAGCUUCACGGUAUGUGUAUAUAUAUAUAUAUAUAUAUAUCUUUUAUAAUUCCCUCCAUGCCCAUACUUAUGCUUCUUCCAAAAUCGACUUAAUUAAUUUAUCAUCUCCUCCCUACUGAUCUCUACCUACCAACAAAACGUAUUCUUCUGCAAGUGAUCCAUCAUCUCUUUCUUUUCUUUUCUUUUCUUUUCUUUUCAUUUUUUUUUUGAGAAAAAGAAAUUAAUGGCGAUCAGACGUAGCAAUAUCACAACUACUGUCUGCCUCCUCCUUCUCCUCUUUGCGAUCCCUUGUUUUUCAAGAGGUUAGUAUAUGUAGAUGUAAUUAUUUGUAUCUAUCUUUUAUUCUUUUUAUAUGAAUUAAUUAAUUCGGGAUAUAAUAACUUAAAUUGUAAUUAAAAUUGUGUGUGUUUGCAUGUAUGUUAUAGGAGGAGCCAUGGAUAUGGAUUCAGAGGUGGUUUAUGAGAUUGAUUAUAGAGGUCCUGAAACUCAUUCCUACAUUCCUCCUCCAGAUAGAUCAGCUCACCGACAACGUCUACGUGCCAUGCCGCAUCGUAGAUCUAAAGGACACAGAGCGGGCAAUGCCGCCGGAGCAAAUGUAUGAAAUUACUAAUUAAGAACCCUUCCUAAUUUUAAUUAUAUUUUCUAGGUACGUAUUUCUUAAUUAUUCUAUUACUAUAUAUUUGGAUCUCAUUUUUCAGGUGAACAACAAAAUUCAUGGAUGAAUUAAUGAAUGAAGAAGUUUUGGUAAUGGACCUGAAAAUAUAUUAUUAAAGUGGGACUAGUUAAUAUGAAGUUAACUUUGGUAAAUUGAAUAAUACAGUGUCGACAUGCAGGCCGGGAGGUUCUCUCUCUUUUGCGUGUCAGCGCUGAAUGGAUUAAUUAAUCAACUUACCAUUAAGUUAAUUUUAUGAUAACGGAAUUCUAUUAAAGUUGUGUUAUUUAAUUCAUUUUGGAUAUUAUCAUGAAGAAGUUUGUGUAAAGGGUGAAAGGGAUUAAUAUUGUGCCUAUUAUUAAUUCUCUUCUAUUUUUAGUUUUAUUUUAUCAUCCCUUCUGGGCUAAUUGUUUAAUUAAUGAUUAAUAUUAUGGAUUAAUUUUGGGAGACAAAAA
rnacentral:lncRNA from 1 species